UAAAAAUCAGAGGACGAUCGGAAAGUACUAAAAUACCGCAGUGAGCAGGCCGCCCUCCACCCUGCAGAAAUCUGGGUCUCUGGAAGCAGAGCCGACUGAGUGUCAAAGUUCCCUUGGUAACGCUAAAUUUACUAAGCAUCUUGAAGGGCCUUAAAGCCAGCGUCCCAGUGAGUGCACCUAACUGUGUUGUGUCAACUGUUUCUGAGUCGGUCAACGUCCUGCUGCCUGCAAGAUGUAAGACUCUCAGCUCCAGCACCACAUUUGCCUGAAUGCCGCCAUGUUCCCCAUAAUGAUAAUGGACUGAACCUCUAAAACUAAGUGAGACACCCCAGUUAAAUGUGUUUAAGAGUUGUGGUGGUCAUGGUGUCUCGUCACAGCAAUAGAAAUGCUAAGACGGGCACCACCAACAAAAACAAAGGAUUCCCCAAAAGUAGAAAGUAGAAGCUUGAUAAAGCCAUGAGUUCAAUUAGAGCAAUGGCAAAUUAUGUGUGGCUACCUUGUUAAAGAAAUCUCUCCCUCUUAUUCUCACCCAAGCAACCUGUUAACUGUCUGUAAAUCCUCUGGGAGUAGAGUGACCUCAUAAAGCCCCACCCCACCCCCCAACUUCCUUGAAGAAAGAUUAUCCUGGUAAUCAUAGCUGUUGACAGUUUGUUCCUCCCAGAGGACAGAAUUCCACAAUUCUCUGCUUUGAAGUCCAUUGCCUAUAACAGGUAUGCGUCCCACACAGGGGAAGCCAGGCUUGGUUGGGUAUGCUGUUUGGUUGCAGGAACAAUAAAAGGCCCAGAGCAGUAAGAAUGGUCAGCUUGUCUGCCAUGGAGUCUACAGAAGGGUAGACAAAACCAAUACAGGAGCCACAGAGAUGCCUGUGAUUGGUCAUUCUUUGCUUUUGAAUUUUUUUAUUGCAGCUACUAAUCUCUUGUGUGGGUGUACGUUGAGCCAUCUCAUCAACCCUAUUUUGCUUGUUUGUGUGUCUUUAAGAUGUAUUUACCGUUGUGGGAAGGAAUGCAUAUUCAAAAGCAUACAUGUGGAGAUCAGAGAACAAUUUGGGGAGCAGCUGUCUCUUUACACCUUCUUUUAUUCAUUUAUUCAUUUAUUUGUUUUGGUUUUUCGAGGUGGGGUUUCUCUGUGGCUUAGGAGGCUGUCCUGGAACUAGCUCUUAUAGACCAGGCUGGUCUCGAACUCACAGAGAUCUACCUGCCUCUGCCUCCCGAGUGCUGGGAUUAAAGGUGUGCACCACCACCACCCUGCUUCCUUCCACCUUCUUUUGAGUCUGCCACUGAAUGGCCAAUGCCCCUGUUUCCUCAUCCCAUUUCAUUACAAGUCAUAACACAAUUAUAUAAUAUGCAGAGUUUCCUUGGAAGAGGUUGAGGAGUGGAGUAAAUUCUUCCCUAGGUCAUGCCAGGUCCAUAAAAAAGGACAAAACUUAGGUGCCUGCAGAGCUGUGGGAGACACAGUGUAGCAGGAAGGCAGGCCAGGUGAAAUAGGAGACUCCAUGUUCCCGAGCCAGCCACCUUAACUCUCAGUCCAUUCCUUCUUUUGCUGAGUGACGGACCCCGUUACUGCAUCUCUCUAGUGUCUCCAGGAUGUCUGUGCCAUAAGGUUGCCCUAAAGAGUAAAUGAUCUGAUUCCCAGACUCCCAAUGUCUAUAUAGAGCCUUCAAGUUUACUGAAGGAUGAGUGCAACGAGGAAGGGGCCAAUGAAUGAGAGGGUUGGCAAUCCAGAUACGCACCACAGAGCUGUCAGGAGCCUCCCCGAGGUGACAUGGGAGAAAAGGCCAACGAGGGCAGAGGUAUUUUAGUUUCCUGUGAAUGGUGGCUUAGAACAGCAAUUUCUUCUUUCAGAAGUUCAAAAAUCAAGGUACUGCAGGAUCCUGUGCCCCAUGGAGGCUGUAGGAAAGGAUUUUUGUCAUACUGAUUCCAACCUCUCCUGGUUGGUGCCACGGGCCUUUAAUCCCAACACUCAGGAUGCAGACGAAAGAGGAUCUCUAUGAUUUAGAGGCUAGCCUGGUCUUCAUAGUGAGCUCCAGGACAACCAAAGUUAUAUAGACAGAAAAAACAAAAACAAAACAAACAAACAAAAAAAACAAAACUUCUGGUGGCUCCAGGUAUUUCUUGGCCUAUGGCUGCACCACUCCAAUCUCUGCUUCUUGUUAAUUAAAAAAAUAUAUUUUUUAUGUA